rnacentral:lncRNA from 1 species
GCCCACCCAAGGUCGGUCCCAAACACUGGGUCUAAAUGUCAAACUCAAAGUCCCAGCCUAGGAGUGGGGACCCACUCAGGGCUUCAUCACCUUGUCGAUGAAGGAGGCGAACUUGUUGUUGAGGGUCUUGAUCUGCUCCCGCUCCUGGGCCUUCACUUGCCCAAUCUGGGGGUCGAUCUCCACAUUGAGGGGCUGCAGGAGGCUCUGGUUGACGGUCACUUCCUGGAUUCCCCCAGGGAAGCCACCAGGCCCAAAGCCACCAGCUCCACCAAAGCCACCUGCCCCUCCAAAGCCACCAGCUCCUCCAAAGCCACCUCCCAUUCCUCUGCCACCACCAAAGCCACCCCCAAAACCACCUCCAUAGCCGCCCCCAAAGCCACUGCCACAGCUGCCACGCCCUCCCCCAAAGCCACCAGCCCAGGAGCCACCAGCCACGCUGAUGGAGAUGCUUUUGUUGCCACCCAGGUUGUAGAGGCUGCGACUGCCAAAGCCGCCUGCUCCACUCCGGAACCCACAGGCCCCUCCGCCAACUCCCCCAGUGCGGGCCACGUGGCUCAUCCUGCUGCUGCCGGAGACCACGGCGGAGCGGCCGGAGAAGCCCUGGCUCCCGCCUCCAGAUGUCUUGGAGACUUGUCUGCUCAUGGUGAGAAAACUUGGUGAAGGAAAAGCGCGAGAGUCAAGCAGACACACUGAGAGUCAGAGGACGAGGGAAGGGCACUGAAGACCUGUGCUGAGUAAAUCACUUUAUAUACAGCUAGGAGGUUGCUGGGCUCAAACGAAGGAGAGAUAAUUAAUCCCAAAU